rnacentral:rRNA from 1 species
GGUCGAGCAAGGAUGAAAAUCGGACUUAGUGAUCCGGUGGUUCUGCGUGGAAGGGCCAUCGCUCAACGGAUAAAAGCUACCCUGGGGAUAACAGGCUUAUCUCCCCCAAGAGUCCACAUCGACGGGGAGGUUUGGCACCUCGAUGUCGGCUCAUCACAUCCUGGGGCUGUAGUAGGUCCCAAGGGUUGGGCUGUUCGCCCAUUAAAGUGGUACGCGAGCUGGGUUCAGAACGUCGUGAGACAGUUCGGUCCCUAUCCGUCGCAGGCGUAGGAAAUUUGAGAAGACCUGUCCUUAGUACGAGAGGACCGGGAUGGACGUACCUCUGGUGUACCAGUUGUUCUGCCAAGGGCAUGGCUGGGUAGCUAUGUACGGAAUGGAUAAGCGCUGAAAGCAUCUAAGCGCGAAGCCAACUUCAAGAUAAGAUUUCCCACCGCAAGGGUAAGACCCCAGAAAGACUAUCUGGUUGAUAGGUCGAAGGUGUAAGUGCAGCAAUGUAUUUAGCUUAUCGAUACUAAUAGGUCGAGGACUUGACCAAAUU